UACGGGGGGGGCAAGCGUUGUUCGGAAUUACUGGGCGUAAAGGGUCUGUAGGUGGCUUGCUAAGUCAGACGUGAAAUCCCUCAGCUUAACUGGGGAACUGCGUCUGAGACUGGCGAGCUUGAGGGCAGGAGAGGAACGCGGAAUUCCUGGUGUAGCGGUGAAAUGCGCAGAUAUCAGGAGGAACACCGGCGGCGAAGGCGGCACUCUAGGCCGGUACUGACGCUGAGGAGCGAAAGCGUGGGUAGCAAACAGG
rnacentral:rRNA from 1 species